rnacentral:rRNA from 1 species
GAUGAACGCUGGCGGCGUGCCUAAUACAUGCAAGUCGAGCGAACAGACGAGGAGCUUGCUCCUCUGACGUUAGCGGCGGACGGGUGAGUAACACGUGGAUAACCUACCUAUAAGACUGGGAUAACUUCGGGAAACCGGAGCUAAUACCGGAUAAUAUAUUGAACCGCAUGGUUCAAUAGUGAAAGACGGUUUUGCUGUCACUUAUAGAUGGAUCCGCGCCGCAUUAGCUAGUCGGUAAGGUAACGGCUUACCAAGGCAACGAUGCGUAGCCGACCUGAGAGGGUGAUCGGCCACACUGGAACUGAGACACGGUCCAGACUCCUACGGGAGGCAGCAGUAGGGAAUCUUCCGCAAUGGGCGAAAGCCUGACGGAGCAACGCCGCGUGAGUGAUGAAGGUCUUCGGAUCGUAAAACUCUGUUAUUAGGGAAGAACAAAUGUGUAAGUAACUAUGCACGUCUUGACGGUACCUAGUCAGAAAGCCACGGCUAACUACGUG